rnacentral:rRNA from 1 species
GUAGGGGGCAAGCGUUGUCCGGAAUUAUUGGGCGUAAAGCGCGCGCAGGCGGCUAUUUAAGUCUGGUGUUUAAACCUUGGGCUCAACCUGAGGUCGCACUGGAAACUGGGUGGCUUGAGUACAGAAGAGGAAAGUGGAAUUCCACGUGUAGCGGUGAAAUGCGUAGAGAUGUGGAGGAACACCAGUGGCGAAGGCGACUUUCUGGGCUGUAACUGACGCUGAGGCGCGAAAGCGUGGGGAGCAAACAGGGAUUAGAUACCCUGGUAGUCCACGCCGUAAACGAUGAGUGCUAGGUGUUAGGGGUUUCGAUACCCUUGGUGCCCGAAGUUAACACAGUAAGCACUCCGCCUGGGGGUAGUACGGUCGCAAGACUG